rnacentral:lncRNA from 1 species
CUUCAUUGCGUGCUUAACUGUUAUAACAGAUAUAGUCUCAACAUAUACAGUUAACUUUGGUCACGCUAAUUUAAUACAAAUAUGUUCUCAACUCUAAAUGUUCCAGCGCUCGUCUGAAUGUGUGACUCCAAAGCAAUAAUGUCCACACCUACAAACGGCCUUCCAAAGGACAAACUUACACACCCUCAUGCACGCACACACACACACAAACACAUACACACAUGCAUACGCACCCACACACACACUGUGUUCCAGAGGGCACAGGGAAACUCCCGUACAACUCCCAGACUUCCUGCAGUUACUUUGCCCAGUUGUGGCCUGAAAAACACUCCUAUUGACCAGGCUGAGUCACAGUUAUACAGGGAGAGGAUGACUGGAUAGAAGAGGAGAGGGGAAGAGAAAAAGGGAGAAUGAAAGAAAGAAAGAAAGAAAGAGAGGGAGGGGUAAAUGGAUAGAGGAGGAGAGGGAAAUAGAAAGAAAGAGGAGAUAGGGAAAGAGAGGGAGAGGAAGGAAGAGGAUGACUGGAAAGAACAGUGGAGUCACUGCCUGGCUACAGCUGCGUCAUUGUGGACAGAAGUUCAAAUCCCGGCGCUGUAUAAUGCCAAUGCCUGUGGAUCCCGCAGAAGGUGGACCAGUUUGGCACAGUGCCAGCCAAUUUGGAUAAGUGGAUGUUGGACUGGUUGCUUCAUUUCUAGAGCCUCCUUCUGGGGAUUAGACAGAUGAACUAUGGACACCAGAUCCCCAACCCCCAAAAAACUGAAAUGUGGAAACAUCAACACUUGCCAUUUUGAAUGAAUGUCACUUUUUAUGGUUUUGCCUUGUCUGAUUCUCCUCAGGACACACCACCCUGUAUAAAAUACUAUUUGUCAUUCCUGACCUACUGGAUACCUUGAGGAGAUUGACCUCCGGUGUUCAAAAGCUUGUGGACAAGACAACACUUAUUAUUAGAGUUCUACAACGUUUGCAGGUUUUUGUUUCAGCCCUUCACUAACAUCUCAUCCUGUCAAAAACCAUCUGGACCAAAAACCUGUCUGAGUUGUCAUUGACCUCUGGGAGGUCAAAAGGGGCGGUUUCACCUCAGCCAAUGAAGGACAGCUAUUGCAACGCGAGGAGACACGACAUUACACUGUUUUGUUAAAAAUCUAAUUUAAUUGCACAAUAAUAAUAAAAAUGUCCCUUAAAACAGGAGA